rnacentral:rRNA from 1 species
ACACUGUUCAUGGGUUACCGCGGCUGCUGGCACGGAGUUAGCCGGUGCUUCUUCUGUGAGUGAUGUCCUUCCUGCCGGUUAUUGACCCGCAGGCCUUCUUCCUCACUGAAAGUGCUUUACAACCCGAAGGCCUUCUUCACACACGCGGCAUGGCUGGAUCAGGGUUGCCCCCAUUGUCCAAUAUUCCCCACUGCUGCCUCCCGUAGGAGUCUGGGCCGUGUCUCAGUCCCAGUGUGGCUGAUCAUCCUCUCAGACCAGCUACGGAUCGUCGCCUUGGUGAGCCGUUACCUCACCAACCAGCUAAUCCGACAUAGGCUCAUCCGAUAGCGCGAGGCCCGAAGGUCCCCCGCUUUCCCCCGUAGGGCGUAUGCGGUAUUAGCCUGGGUUUCCCCAGGUUAUCCCCACUACCGGGCAGAUUCCUAUGCAUUACUCACCCGUCCGCCGCUCGCCACCAGGGAGCAAGCUCCCCGUGCUGCCGCUCGACUUGCAUGUGUUAGG